rnacentral:lncRNA from 1 species
ACAAGUCAUAAGCUCUACUGAGUUUACUAGAAGAAUCCCUAAAUACAACUGUUCAUAGUGGAAAUUAAAUGGUACAAGUAGAAUUCAAAAGGUGACUCCAAUGCCUGCGAACGUGAAAACAUGUUUACCUUGAGUCUCCACAGGUCGACCAACCAGCUAAUAAUCAACAACAACCGUAGCACCUGGAUCUGCACAAAAAUGUGUAGAGGAGUAGUAUGAGUACACCAUAGCGGUACCUAGUAAGUAUCAAGACUAAUCUCGGUAGAGUAGUGACGAGGAACAAUCAAGACACCUACCGGACUAAACAACCUGAACUAGUAUGAAGGUAAACUAACGGAGAAAGCAAUAUUAAUAUAAAGCUAAGCAGGAUAAGGAAUACAAAACCAUACUUACAAUAAUACACUAGUAACAACAAUAUUUAACAUGAAGCAGUCAGGUAAUAACAUUUUAGAGUAAAUUAAACACAGUCUAAGUCUGGUGAAACCAAAUAAAGAAAAACCAGCAACAACUCAAUAAGAACAACUACUUUCACACCAAGUUUGUUCAAGCAUUUCCACAAGGUACCAAACCUCAUAAUCAUAGCUCACGGGUCCCAAUUCUUGAACCCUAAUCACUUGGCAUCUUGUGCCCACAUUACAACUCAUAACUGCACGGGCGACUCAUGUGCCAAUAGAACAAUCCUCACAUAGAAGGCAAGAAGAUGAGUACAUAUAAUGGUUAAUGAUGUUAGGAUUCACCUUUUUAAAACCGAUAUGGGUGAUUGUACUACGUGUAUGCUUGUGCAGGUGUUUUACCAUAAUUCUAGUCAACAAAUAAGAAUAAAGACACUGAAUGGUACCUAAAAAAUGAUCACCACGAAAUAUAUAGUGUAAUAAAUAGUUAAUGAGGUUGAAGUAGCAAUAACACAACAAGAUUAGAUACAUAGAAUUGAGCAAAUAGUACAACACGGAUGAGAACAACUAAUAGUAUGCAAAGGAAAACAACAAUCAAAGACAAGUGCAUAGAAAAGGGGAAACAACAACAGAGCCCUCCCAAGAUACCGUCUCAUAGUCUCAAAUAGUAAAAUGAAUCACAACAUUCCUUAUAUUACCACAAGAGCCUUUAUAUUUAGUUUUUAAGAGUCAUUUUUCCUGAAAUAGUAUCCUGCGUUUUAGCCCACCUUAUCACACUGUAUGGCUUCUAGUAAUUCCCCUACUAGCCACACGUUUCAAGCCCACCUUAUCUCACUGCAUGCGUUUCAACACCCAGACUUUAUACCACCGCAUGCGUAUUAAUAACAACAACACGUUAGAAACCUCGUGCAACAUAACAAUAACUGCACGGCAUAAACCUCGUGCAAACACAAUAACAACCGCAUGGCAAAAAUCUCGUGCAAACACAACACUGAAUACAACAGCAACAACGAUAAUAACACAAGAAUACGACAAGUAAAUCAACUCAGAAAAUCAUGAACAUAAAGAGACGGAAGAAGAAACUCACAAAGAAAGACAUAACAGGAAAUAAUGGUACAACAUAGCAAUAGCUCAACAAGGAAGAGAUCCCAUAUAGCAAUGAUUCCAUAUAAGUACAAUUCAACUAUAAGAGGGCCCCGAUGCCGUACUGGCAACCAUUCUGUAACUCAUUCUUUCUGUGACCAUCGUGAGCCAACAUGACAACUCGUAGUGCAUAACUGUAAGUGGACAACAAUGUAUCAAUAAACUAUCGUUCUUAAGACAAAAAUACAUAUGAGCCGUCAAGGCCUCUGACAUACUGUACAAACUGAACCUCAGUCUACAAAGCCUCUAAGAUUAUUUGACAUAAAAUGGGACAGGGUACCUGCCUACCCAUAAGUCUGAAGUAAAACUCUGACGCGAUGACUCAUAGAUUUGGCUGCACUCCAAAUGAUGUAGAGUCUUACCGAUCCUUCGCUGAACGCUAACCUCGUCUAUAAUGAGGAUUCAUCAAAUUGAUUACUUAUACCUGCAAGCAUGAAUGCAUCGUCCACAACAAAAGGAUGUCAGUACAAACAAUAUAUCGAGUAUGUAAGGCAUGUAAAUCGAUAUAUAAAGGACAUGAAAGAAACAUGGAGUACAUGACUCAACCUGUAAGUCUGGAUAACUCUGUAUAUCAUUUAGUAUUUAUUGUGUCAUGCAUAUGCGUAUGAAUGUCAUGUCGUGCAUAGACACAUAUGUUCAUAACAUCAUCAAGCCUCUGAGGGCAUCCCAUCAUAUCAUCUCAGCCACUGUGGGCAGAAUCAUCAUCAUAUACCAGCUGAUCAGGUGGUGCGUAUAUAACGCCAUAACCUUUCCCAUAUCCCAUAUAUAUAUAUAUAUAUAUAUAUAUAUAUAUAUAUAUAUAUAUAUAUACGCGUAUAUAAACCAUAACAUCAUCACGCCUCUGAGGGCGUCCCAUCAUAUCAUUUCGGCAACUGUGGGAAAAUCAUCAACGUAUACCAGUUGAUCAGGUGUUGUUGCGUAUAUAACGCCGUAACCUAUACAUAUAUUUACAUAUAUACGCGUAUAUAACGCCAUCUGGUCAUGGGUCAAUGCACAUGUAUAAAUGGGUGAAAUGCAUGAAAAUACGUAUAAUCUCAAUAUUCCUUCCGGAUAAACUUUUUCAACUGCGUACUAUUCUGAGACCCAUGAACAAAAGAUAACAAAAAUUUUCAUAGGGAAUCAAGAAUAUAGACACCCCUAAUAUCUCUAUGAAUAGAGUAAUUUAUGGAAACUAUACGUUUGCUCGUUUCUUCAGUUUAUUUUGAACCAUGCCAAAAGAAAGAAGGAAUGACCUUAACAUACCUAAGAAAUAAAGUAAGAAGCCUGGAUUGGUAGAAGAAUUUCUAGAAUCCAAAUUUCCAUAAUAAUCUCAAUGAAGCUUCUACAGAACCAUAUGCUAGCAUGUAAUUUAUUUCCAUUAAGAUCCUUCCCUUAUCAAGUCUUGAUAUGGAAGAUGCUAAUUCUUUUACAUAAUGAAUUGUUUCUCUAGAAAAAUGAAAUCCUAAACGGCCUGCUAUCCUCACUCCACGCAAAAAUGCGAGCACAGUCCUCGAUGAAAGAAAUAGAGGAUCAAAACUUUAUUGAUUAUGUGUGGAAGGAAUUAUAAUACAGCUACAUAAUGGUUUGCUUAAGAAAAUGUGUUUCUUCAUAAGCAUUUCUGAAUACAUUUUACUGGAACCAUUCGUCAGAAAUACUAAUUUCCCUAUCCAACACUUCUACUUUAUACUAUUUCAAACUUGAUGUGACAUCUCUUUCAACUGCGUCAAUGUUUCACACUUCAAAAAAAUUUACUAACCUACUCCCCAACCAACUCAACACAUCAAUGCCAUCCUAGAGAAGAAAGACUUCAUAGACAUUUCAAAUGAAGAAAUCAUUCUAAAUUGCCUCUGUCAUUCAAAGCCCUCACACGGCUCAUGCAGCACUAAGUGAUUAAUCUUUUAGAUUACGCGCCAGAGAGCAUGGCAUAAAUACCUAAAUCAGGUAAUACAACCCUUUGAAUUUUCUUAGACAUCCCUAGUCAUAUUUUGAGACUUCUACAUCAUAAUCUCUGCCUAACUUCCCUACCAAGUAAUUCCCAAAAGCUAAAUUGCUUCCAUUGUAUAUCUCAACGAAUUGUGACUCUUUUUCUCUAAUUAAAUCAAUUCUUUACAAUAAGAGCUGCUCAAAGAUGUACUUAUUACACUAUUAUUUAGAAAUUUAACCUUAAUUUGAAAUAUUUUUAUCCUAAAAAUUAAAAUAAAGGAGAAAGAAGAUAAUGCUAGGAAUAAACUAAACUUACUAUCAGCUACACUCUUUCACAUGUAAACCCUCCUACCAUACAUUUGCUAAAGACGUAAAUCAAGAAAUAAAACUAAUUCACUUAUCAGUAGAAUAACACAAACCCAACAUUGAUUUCGUGUAAAAAGCUCAGAAUAAACAUACCAUUACCAAUAUUGCCAAGAAAUUUGGGGGGAAACAAUUCAACCAUGGCGUAAUUUCUCGUUAAAUGCAUAAAAUUAACGGUAAAAUAAACAACCAUGUUGCAAUUUGCUCAAGUGGGUAACGAAAGGAAAAGAAAGAGAGAUACCCCAACUUUUAAUGAGAUUAU